rfam:Schistosoma haematobium scaffold788_26, whole genome shotgun sequence.
ACCUUGCUGACGAGUGCCAAGUAGCACGAAACCCGGGUCCAGGGU